rnacentral:rRNA from 1 species
GAUGAACGCUGGCGGCGUGCCUAAUACAUGCAAGUCGAGCGAACGGACGAGAAGCUUGCUUCUCUGAUGUUAGCGGCGGACGGGUGAGUAACACGUGUAUAACCUACCUAUAAGACUGGGAUAACUUCGGGAAACCGGAGCUAAUACCGUAUAAUAUUUUGAACCGCAUGGUUCAACAGUGAAAGACGGUCUUGCUGUCACUUAUAGAUGGAUCCGCGCUGCAUUAGCUAGUUGGUAAGGUAACGGCUUACCAAGGCAACGAUGCAUAGCCGACCUGAGAGGGGGAUAGGCCACCUGGGAACUUGACCAGCGUCAAGACUCCUACGGGACGCAGCAGUAGGCAACCUUCCGCAAUGGGCGAAAGCCUGACGGAGCAACGGCGCGUGAGUGAUGAAGGUCUCCGGAUCGUAAAACUCUGUUAUUAGGGAAGAACAUAUGUGUAAGUAACCGUGCACAUCUUGACGGUAACUAAUCAGAAAGCCACGGCUAACUACGUG